UAGUCCACGCCGUAAACGAUGUCAACUAGCCGUUGGGCUCACUUAGGAGCUUAGUGGCGCAGCUAACGCGAUAAGUUGACCGCCUGGGGAGUACGCCGGCAACGGUAAAACUCAAAGGAAUUGACGGGGGCCCGCACAAGCGGUGGAGCAUGUGGUUUAAUUCGAUGCAACGCGAAAAACCUUACCUACCCUUGACAUCCUCAGAACUUGUUAGAGAUAACUUGGUGCCUUCGGGAACUGAGUGACAGGUGCUGCAUGGGCUGUCGUCAGCUCGUGUCGUGAGAUGUUGGGGUUAAGUCCCCGCAACGAGCGCAACCCCUUAUCCCUUAGUUGCCAGCACGUUANGGUGGGAACUCUAGGGGANACUGCCGGUGACAAACCGGNGGAAGGUGGGGAUGACGUCAAGUCAUCAUGGGCCCUUACGGGGUAGGGGCUACACACGUGCUACAAUGGUCGGUACAGAGGGUUGCGAAGCCGCGAGGUGGAGCUAA
rnacentral:rRNA from 1 species